UCAACUUUUUGCCAAGGAAGC
rnacentral:piRNA from 1 species